AUUGAACGCUGGCGGUAUGCCUAACACAUGCAAGUCGAACGGUAGCAUUGGAGCUUGCUUCAGAUGACGAGUGGCGGACGGGUGAGUAACGCGUGGGAAUCUACCCAGUAGUUGGGGAUAGCCCGGAGAAAUCCGGAUUAAUACCGAAUAAGGUCUACGGACGAAAAGGUGCCUCUUCUUGAAAGCACUUGCUAUUGGAUGAGCCCGCGUUAGAUUAGUUUGUUGGUGGGGUAACGGCCUACCAAGACUACGAUCUAUAGCUGGUUUGAGAGGAUGAUCAGCCACAUUGGGACUGAGACACGGCCCAG
rnacentral:rRNA from 1 species